rnacentral:ncRNA from 1 species
AUAAAGUUUUAUUUUGGCUUUAAUACUUUUUGUUAUAUAACUUUACAUGUAAAUUGUUGUGAGAAAUUUUUAAAUUCUAAAUGAUGUAAUUAUUUUAUUCGCAGUAUUUGAUAUUGGUAAUUAAUAUAUAGAAUCAGUUAAUUUAAAUUGUUUUGGUUAAAUUUGUGCCAGCUACCGCGGUUAUACAAAAGAGGCGUAAAAGUAUUAUUGGUUAAAGUUAAUAAUUAUAUUAUAAAAAUUUAAAAGAUUAAAUUAUGUGGUGAAAUAUAAAUUUAUAAAUUUAUUUAUUAUUAGUUUUAUGAAACUUGGAAAGUUAAUAAAUAAACUGGGAUUAGAUACCCCAUUAUUUUAACUGUUAUUAUAUAACUUGAGUAUUAUUAGUUAUGGUCUUGAAACUCAAAAAUUUUGGCGGUGUUUUAACCUGUUAGAGGAACUUGUCCUGUAAUCGAUAACCCACGUUUUGUUUUACUUAAUUUUGUUUAGCUUGUAUACCGCCGUCAGAAGAAUAAUUUUAAAAAUUAUGUUCUUAAAUCUUAAAUAAGAAAGAUGUCAGGUCAAGGUGCAGUUUAUGGUUGAGUAUGAGAUGAGUUACAAUAAUUUUAGUUAUAACGGAAAGUAAUUUUAAAUUUGCUUGAAGGUGGAUUUAGAUGUAAAUUUAUUUUAAAUAAAAUUAUUGAUAAAGGCUCUAAAAUAAGCACAUAUCGCCCGUCGCUCUCAUUUGUUAAGGUGAGAUAAGUCGUAACAUAGUAAGUGUACCGGAAGGUGUAUUUAGAAUGACAA